rnacentral:rRNA from 1 species
UACAGAGGUCCCAAGCGUUGUUCGGAUUCACUGGGCGUAAAGGGUGCGUAGGCGGUCGGGUAAGUCUGAUGUGAAAUCUCACAGCUUAACUGUGAAACUGCAUUGGAUACUAUCCGGCUCGAGGAAUGGAGGGGAGACUGGAAUACUUGGUGUAGCAAUGAAAUGCGUAGAUAUCAAGUGGAACACCAGUGGCGAAGGCGGUUGCCUGGAGCUUUGCUGACGCUGAUGCGCGAAAGCGUGGGGAGCGAUCCGG